UACGUAGGGGGCGAGCGUUGUCCGGAAUCAUUGGGCGUAAAGCGCGUGUAGGCGGCUCGGUAAGUCUGCUGUGAAAGUCCAGGGCUCAACCCUGGGAUGCCGGUGGAUACUGUCGAGCUCGAGUCCGGAAGAGGCGAGUGGAAUUCCUGGUGUAGCGGUGAAAUGCGCAGAUAUCAGGAGGAACACCGGUGGCGAAGGCGGCUCUCUGGACCGAGACUGACGCUGAGGCGCGAAAGCGUGGGGAGCAAACAGG
rnacentral:rRNA from 1 species